rnacentral:rRNA from 1 species
UUGUUAGUUGCCAUCAUUCAUUUGGGCACUCUAGCGAGACUGCCGGUAAUAAACCGGAGGAAGGUGGGGAUGACGUCAAAUCAUCAUGCCCCUUAUGACCUGGGCUACACACGUGCUACAAUGGUUGGUACAACGAGUUGCGAGUCGGUGACGGCGAGCUAAUCUCUUAAAGCCAAUCUCAGUUCGGAUUGUAGGCUGCAACUCGCCUACAUGAAGUCGGAAUCGCUAGUAAUCGCGGAUCAGCACGCCGCGGUCGAAUACGUUCCGGCCUU